rnacentral:rRNA from 1 species
CCCUUAGAUGUCCUGGGCCGCACGCGCGCUACACUGAUGCAUGCAACGAGUUUAUAACCUUGGUUGAAAAGCCUGGGUAAUCUUUUGAACUUUCGUCGUGAUGGGGCUAGACCCUUGCAAUUAUUGGUCUCCAACGAGGAAUUCCUAGUAAACGCAAGUCAUCAGCUUGCAUUGAUUACGUCCCUGCCCUUUGUACACACCGCCCGUCGCACCUACCGAUUGAAUGGUCCGGUGAAAUCUUCGGAUUGAGACUUUGAUUUCUUCACGGAAAACGCUGUUUUAAAAAGUUGAUUAAACCUUACCAUUUAGAGGAAGGUGAAGUCGUAACA